ensembl:lncRNA
CUCCUAAGCCCCAUUCCUAGAGUUUCUCAGUCGUUCUGGUGUAAGGUCUGAUGAUUUGCUUUUCUAGUAAGUUUCAGGUGAUUCUGAUAACAUUUUGCUGAGGCUAUUAGCCUAGGAACCACACCCUAAGAUCCAGGGACCUAACUUACAAUUUUAAACCAAUGGUUCUCAUGUAGGGGCUGCUAUACCCCAUCUCAUACUUCCACCCCUGGGUACAUUUGGCAAUAUUUUGAGAUGUUUCUGGUUGUCACAACUAGGAGGGGAGUGGCUACUGACAUCUAGGCACGUGGUCACACAAAUAAAGAUGACACUUUCCAACCUCCCCUCCAGCUGAUAUGGAAAGACCCAACCAAAGCAACAUGAGCAGAAGCCAUGUGUGUAACUUCAAGUCACAUCCUUAAAAGGAGGCAUGUGUCUCCCUUCCUCCCUUCUGCUGUUUUCAGUGUGAAUGUGGGGAAGAGGCACCUUGGAUCAAGCUGGUGUAGGCCAUACUCUGCAAAGGCAGAGCAAAAUGUCAGCAUGAGCCUGGGUCCCUAGAAGAUCCCAAAGAGCAAAGCCCCCAUACAAGCACUGAAGCACCUUCUUCCAGACUGUUCCAUGGGAAAGACAUUUGCAUUUUGUAUAAGCUACUCUUGAGAGUCCUUUGGACAACAGGGUAAUCAAACCAGUCAAUCCUAAAGGAAAUCAACCUUGAAUAGUCAUUGGAAGGACUGAUGCUGAAGCUCCAAUACUUUGGUCUUCUGAUGCGAAGAGUUGCCUCACUGGAAAAGACCUUGAUGCUGAGAAAGAUUGAGGACAAAAGGAGGAGGGGGCGACAGAGGAUGAGGUUGGAUGGCAUCACUGACUCAGUGGAGCAAACUUUAGGAGAUGGUAAAGGACGCGGAAGCCUGCUGUGCUGCAGUCCAUGGGAUUGCAGAGUCGGACACAACUGAGUGACUGAACAACAAAGCCACUCUUAUUUUGAGUUUCUAUUACAAGCAGCUGACCUCAUAUGCUAGCAAAUAUUACUAAUCAAACUUGAAAUCCAGCUACUUUUCUCACCAUCAACAUACAUUCCUGGCCCCUGGAAAGCUAGAAUAUUCUCUCUAUGUGGUGGGACUCCAGCAGUUUCUACAUAGAUCUAUCUCCCCUACCUCAAACCCUACUCCACCCACUGUCCCAAAGAUUCCUGAAGGCUCUCUCUCUGAAAAAGCCAAGGCUUCCAUCUCUGGUAAAUUAUAACCCCGAGGAGGAAUAACAGACUAUACUAUUAAUCAGUUUUUGUACCUGUGAAAGGCAGAACUGAGAAUGUUCUGCUAAGGAGGGGAAAAAGGCUUUAAAAUAAAAAUGUGGCACCACUGAAAACCCAUAAACCUCACAGAUUUGCCUAAGAUUGGUGUGAGGAUAGAGCCAAACCAAACACUGCCACCGUGACCCCACUCUUGAAGAAUACCUCCUAAGUCUUAAUACCCUCCCCAACAACCGAAACUGGCCUCAGCAGCACUGAUCAUGCCGAGGAGAGUGGGGCCUCCCUG